UGAAAUCAGUUUCAAUUAUUC
rnacentral:piRNA from 1 species